rnacentral:rRNA from 1 species
UACGUAGGGAGCAAGCGUUAUCCGGAUUUACUGGGUGUAAAGGGCGAGUAGGCGGGAAUGCAAGUCAGAUGUGAAAGCCCGGGGCUUAACCCCGGAACUGCAUUUGAAACUGUGUUUCUUGAGUGAUGGAGAGGCAGGCGGAAUUCCUAGUGUAGCGGUGAAAUGCGUAGAUAUUAGGAGGAACACCAGUGGCGAAGGCGGCCUGCUGGACAUUAACUGACGCUGAGGAGCGAAAGCGUGGGGAGCAAAC